CUUCAUCACAACCCUUAAUAUUAAUCAAUAAAUCCAUACAAAAUCUUGUCCCUUGUAUAAGUCAUUCAAAAUUUAACACUAACAAGAUGUCUUAGUUCAAUUUAAAAAAUAAUCCAAACUUUGACUUGAAUAAUUAAUACACUUCACCAUCUUCAACAAUCACAAGAAAAAUUAAAAAAAAUCUAAUCCAAAGAUAGUAAUAUGAAUUAUUAA
rnacentral:lncRNA from 1 species